rnacentral:rRNA from 1 species
ACACGACUACAUUAGAUCCGCGUAGUCCAGGGUGUAAACGCUGCGGGCUUGGUGUUGGGGGUCCUUUGAGGGCGCCCAGUGCCGGAGAGAAGUUGUUAAGCCUGCUGCUUGGGGAGUACGUCCGCAAGGAUGAAACUUAAAGGAAUUGGCGGGGGAGCACCGCAACGGGAGGAGCGUGCGGUUCAAUUGGAUUCAACGCCGGACAACUCACCAGGAGCGACGGUUACAUGAAGGCCAGGCUGAUGACCUUGCCUGAUUUUCCG